ACAUAACAAAAGUUUGGCUCACGACGAAUUUGCCGAGUGGUGAUAUAAGUUAACCGAAUAGGACACGAUAAAUUUUACUAAUGAUAAUAAUAUUACACCCUUAGGAAUUUUGGCACACAGAGGAUAGGCAGCGGGAAAAGGGAAGAGGAAAAGGAGAGGCAAACUUGUAACAUGGAUACAGAAGACACAACUGUGGAUCAUGAAACAGUUAAAGAUCUUAUCGAAGAACUCGGUUUUAUUCGGAUUUCAGAGGCUGAAAAUCAGAUUUCAGAUUUCUUCGGGCGUUUUAUCAGGGAUGAAUAUCAACCGUAUUCGCCUAUUCAAUGGUUAGAAAUAAUAUCACGUUGGAUGUUUGACGACGAGCGUUCAGAAAUUGUUGACGAAAAGAAAAGAUUUGCCUUCCAUGUUAUGUUUGAAGUAUAUGUGGCAGCCUGGUUUGACUGUAAACCCGCAUUUACAGGCACGGUCAAACGUAUCGGUAAAUCCGGCGACAACGGUGCUGAUAUUUUAGCAUUUGAACACAAACCAAAUACAAGGCCUAUAAUUGUUCAGGUCAAACAUGGAAAAAGUACGGGAAAAAAUAUACAGUCAACUAUUCGCGAUCUGGUAGGCUCAUGUGUUCUUCAUGAAGUCAAACGUGGAUUUCUUGCCGUAAGUCUAUCGAAGACGCAUUCUUGAUCCACAUGGAAGUUUAGAAUCUUUUGAAAGAAAAGGAUACAGCAUAACUAUAUUAUAUAAAGAAAACUUAUCAUCGGUUGCUGAAGAAGACGCGGAGCAAUUUAUAGACUUAUCAUCGGUUGCCUGAAGAAGACGCGGAGCAAUUUAUACGUUUCUUCAUUAAACACGUGCCGAAAUCAUGGAAGCUACAGCUCCGACAGUAAGAUGUAACUGAGCUUGUUAUGGUAGAGGCAAUUAGAUAUAAUCUUUUUUUUUUGUAUAUUGAGAGCAUGAGAAUAUAUGAGAUGACCUUGUUUUUUGAGUGAAAGAAUGUCAGGAACUUAUUCUGUUGUACCUGAAUAUCACAAUCGUUCAACCAUUUGAAAAUUUGGUUCCAAAAUUUCUGAAUCUUUGUACAGUUCCAGAACAAGUGUUCCAUACUUUCAACUUCCAUAUUACAAAAGUCACACAGGCUCGAUUCUGUUAAAUUGUAUUUAAAUAAAAAUUUGUUUGUUGCAAUAUUUCUGUGAAGAAAAUUAAAAUGGAAGUUUUGUAAACUGUUAUCUUUGCAACAAGUAAUAUAAUUUUUGAAUAUAUCUUUCCAACAGAACUGAUCUUCCGGAAAGAAUAAUUCCCAUUUAAUUUGAGAUUUUGUUUUUUCCUCUGACAUUUUUUUUUUAAAUUUUAGUUAGGUUUUUAUUCAAGUAACAGGAUUUUGUUGUUUCUAAUAAUCUAUUUUAUUUCAUCUGGUGUAUCGUAUAUAUCAAUUGUUCCUAAUUUCAUUUUCCAUUCUUUUGGAAUUGAUGCAAUUAAUCUAUGAUAGUUUAAAAUUCUGAGUUAGGUAUAUGAUAUUCGUUUUUUAGUAUUUCAAAUGUUUUGAACUGUUUAUUUUCUUCGUCGUAGAUAUCUUUAAUAUAAAUUAUGUUUUUCUUUAUCCAUAAAGGGAAGUUUAUUAUUGAUUUAUUAUUUUUAAUGAGCGAAUUAUUCCAAACUAUUUGCAUUGUUAUAUUUUGUGGAUUUUUGUUGAAAUUUAUUUUGCUCCAUGAAAUGAGGAUAUCUUUUAAGAACGUAUUUUCCAAUUUUAAUUUUAAAAUAUCUUUUUCAUUUAAGUUACAUUUAAAUAGAUUCAUCUCAGAUACUUUUUCCAAUCUCUUGUUUGUUAUUUCUUUCCACUUUCCAUUACUGGAAUUGCUUUUUAUCCUUUUUAUCCAGCUAGAUUUGAUAGAAUUCAAAUAUAUUGGAAUGUCUACCAUGUUUAUACCUCCACAGUCAUAAUCCUGUAUUAAGAUAUCUCUUUUGAUUUUAUCUCUUUUGGAAUUCCAAAUAAAUUCAUAACUAUUCUG
rnacentral:lncRNA from 1 species